AAAUAGAAAUCAAUGAAAUUUAAACACAAGGUUUAUGACCACAAAAGGAAAGUUGGGAUUGAUUUUGGGAGUUGAGGUCCUAACAGUUUAGGAAUUAGGGGCCAAAAAGGGGCCCAAAUAAGCAUUUUUCUUGGUUUUUGCACCAUAACUUUAGUAUAAGUAAAUAGAAAUCUAUGAAAUUUAAACACAAGGUUUAUGACCAUAAAAGGAAGGUUGGG
rnacentral:lncRNA from 1 species